rnacentral:rRNA from 1 species
ACACUCCUACGGGAGGCAGCAGUGUGGAAUAUUGGACAAUGGGCGCAAGCCUGAUCCAGCCAUGCCGCGUGAGUGAUGAAGGCCCUAGGGUUGUAAAGCUCUUUCACCGGUGAAGAUAAUGACGGUAACCGGAGAAGAAGCCCCGGCUAACUUCGUGCCAGCAGCCGCGGUAAUACGAAGGGGGCUAGCGUUGUUCGGAUUUACUGGGCGUAAAGCGCACGUAGGCGGACUAUUAAGUCAGGGGUGAAAUCCCGGGGCUCAACCCCGGAACUGCCUUUGAUACUGGUAGUCUUGAGUUCGAGAGAGGUGAGUGGAAUUCCGAGUGUAGAGGUGAAAUUCGUAGAUAUUCGGAGGAACACCAGUGGCGAAGGCGGCUCACUGGCUCGAUACUGACGCUGAGGUGCGAAAGCGUGGGGAGCAAACAGGAUUAGAAACCCCAGUAGUCCCAUGAU